CUCUCAACCAUAUCUCUCUCUCUCGUUACUUCCAAAACCAAGCUUCUUCCUUAUUUUAUUUAUUUAUUUUUCUUUUAUUUCAGAUUUCGAAAACAUUAUCUCAUCAAUUUACUUUUCUCAAUUUCUAAUUUCCAACUCUAAUUCUCCUUUUCUCCUUCUUUCCUAUCGAUGGCCAUGGCAACUCAUCAACCCUAGAAAACAUUCGAAGAAUCUCAAACCCUUCAAUCGAAAAUUAGUUUGCGUCAUGGGUGACGAACUGAAAUCCAGGAUUCGCAAGGCCUCCACUCAAAAAACCGAGGAGAUUUAGAGAGUUAGGUGACGUAGUAGAGGAGACGUAAAAUCCGACGGAACAACUCAGGUGACUAAAGCAAUUAAUCCAUGAGGUUCAAAUUGAGACUUAAGAUGAGAGCGGCGAGCUUUCGAAGCUUGAGCAGAGAUCUGGGCAUUGUGGUGGAGACGCAGAGGAGAUGUGAGUUCCGACCAGAUUAAUUCCAGUGACUAAGACAGUGAAGGCGGUGGUAGAAUACAAUGAUGGUGGACACGGUGACAAGGUUCAGUCCCGUGGAAAAAGUGGUCGUGGUGGUUGAUGACGUGGUGGUCGUGGAUACGACAAUGGAGGUGGUUGUGGAUAUGAAGAGGCUGUGGUUGAAAGACGUGAGGGUGGGGAAUAAGGAGGUGAAGGGCUUGGUGGAGCCUCCACCGUGGAGGUGGUCCUGGAUACCACAAUGGAGGUGGUUGUGGAUUUUGAUGUUCUUAUGGAUGGUUCCUAGCUUUCUGUUUCCAGAAUCAUUGAACUAUUUGAUACUAAAGACUUUGCUUAUGUUAUGACCAAAGUCUCUUUUGGUUUGUCUUUACAGUUAUAGCUUCAUUUAUCUUCCUUUCUCGCCGGUGAGACAUCCAUGGAUUCCUAGCUCAAAAUCUUCGUAAAAAAUGGCUGCCGGUAACAGAGUCAAGUGUGGUCUCAUCCAGAAAGCACGUUGCAAGCUUUCCCUUCUGAUCUCCAAGCAUCUCUGCUCAUGAACAACCGAAGAAAUUUACAGCUAACAGUAACAUAUCUUUCUUUCUCUAUCUCUUAUCUGAUUUUUUAUUUUUUAUUUUUUAUUUGAUUUAUUUUGAGAUUUGUGCUUAGUUUAUAUUGGUCUAUCCAAUUUUUUUCGCUGAUUUUGGGCUCAUUACCAAGGAACUAUGUUGAUGUAGCUUUGUAGCAGUAUAGAGUGCUUGAAUA